GUGGCGAUGUGUUUUUUGGUCCGUUUCAACCGCCAUUGGAGAGGGAUCACGGAUGGGGUUUUCUACAGUAGUGGUUUUUUUUCAUGUAUAGCACAACAGCCGCAAAGGGCCGUUUAUUUUUUCCGGAGGAAACCCGAAAGGUAUCAUGUGGUAACGUGGCAAAGGUUUAUUUUUUUAUGUCCAAGAUUGAGCAACGUCAAUUUUUUAUGCAGUAAUGUGGCAACCUGGUGAACUGGUUUUUUCUUAGCAGUAUGCCAACAACGACACUAUGGAUUAUCACUUGUCCCG
rnacentral:lncRNA from 1 species